CUCUCCAUCUACCUGAAAGGGGUUGGCCUCUCCUCCCACAUAAGUAGUGAUAGAACAAAAGGGAAUGGCCUCAAGUUGCAACAGAUAAUGUUCAAUUUGGAUAUUAGGAAAAACUUAUUCUGGUAGGAGGACGGUUGAACUAGAGGAUCUUAGAAAUCUUUUCAACCUUAAUGAUUUUAUGAUUCUGUGAUUUCCCAUGCUUCCAAAAUCAAUUUCAGCUAGUAGAACUUUGCUGCUUCUGUUUUUUUAGUUUUAUUUGGAAUAGGGUAAGGAUCUGUUAUGCAGGAGAGGGUACAAACACAUAGGAAGAUCAAAAAGGUGAAACAAAUUAGAAUGGUGGAUUUAUGUUGCCAAAUGUUGGAAAUGUUGUCAAAUAUACUGUUGUGAUUAUUUCUACUUCAGUAGAUCCCUCUUGCCCAUGAUAUUUGCUCUUAAUUUCCCAAAUCUUAUCAGCUCCUCAGUGACUUUGCAGCAUCCUUCUCUGUCACUUUGCCUGACAAAUUAAUUGGUGGCUGUUAGUGUAUGUUCUAAGGUAAACCUAUCCUCUAUGUUCUUUUUUUUGAUCUCAUGUUGGAAGGAGAAAGGAGAAUAGUUCUGAAAGGAUUUGGGUCUGAAAACAUCAGGAAUAUCGGCUAAUACUUUUUCAAAUGCUUUUGUAAUAGUGUGAAAGUGUCCAAAAGGUCUUAUUUACAGCUAACAUAGACAAAAGGAUUUGAAAAUGAAAAGCAAUUCCAGCAUACUCACUAUCAAUUCUUGUGUAAUUCAGUAGCCUAAACCUUUGGACAUUCACCUUCGCAUUUGACUGCGUCCUUAGCAUCUACAUUCUGUGUGUGUAAUCCAGGAUGCUUAUGACCGUUUUUCAAGGUUUUUGAACUCUCUGUGUAAAAAUAUCAAACUUCAAAAUGCUUGCUGUUAUCAAUAUUUCCAUAAAGGCUGAAGAUUUAUAGAAGUAUAACAGUGAUUUUCCACACCAGAUAGCAAUUGAAAUAUUUUAUGAUGUUUUCCACACAGAUUUUUUCCCUGUCCCAUUUUACCUGUGUUUUUCUGUUUCAGUUCACUCAGUGGCCCAAGCUUCCUGUUUUUGCUGGCCUCCUCACUCAAAUCUGCCUUGAGUUCUUCCCUCUGGCAAGAAUCAUGACACCCAAUUCAGAGUGCCAUUAAUGUACAGAAAGAAAUGUAAGGAGAUAUUGGUUGGCUUUGAAUGGGGUGUAAAAUGCGCCAGUAUUUCUCUUCAAAUUUGCUUCUGUAAGAAAUGCUUUUCAGCAUUUGAAUCAUUUUGUAAGUUAUAUGAAUUAAUAUUAUAUUUCAUAUUCUUACU
ensembl:lncRNA